rnacentral:rRNA from 1 species
AUGUCCUACUCCUACUCCAUGUUCUCGCACAACCCCAGCUGCUCCCUCACGCACAACUCCACCGACAUCUACGCCGCCGGGGAGGGCACCAACGGCUCCGUGCACAGCCGAUUCAAUUUCCGCCCCAUGGGGGACGGCAGCGUCGCCUUCGCCACGCCGCCGAUGAAGGAGGGCACCUCCGCCUUCUUCCCCACCGAGCUCCCCGCCAAGAUGGCGGCGGGCAGCGCCGGUGGCAGCUUCGACGGCGGCCGCGGCGCGCAUACGUCGCGGCCUGAUAGGAUCCUGCGGGACAUCGUGUCUGACUCCGUGUCGGCCAUGGCGCAUGUGCUGCAGGAGUUCCCCAGCGAGUCCCUGGAGGUGCUGCGGGCGGCGGUGCGGAGCAUGGUCGACGCUCCGGAGAAGAGGGACGACCUGGCCAGCCUGCAGCGGAGGCUGGAGCGCCGGUCGGACCUGACGGCCGAGGCACUGGCGCGGGCCAACAGGACGCAGUUGGAGAUCCUGGUGGCCAUCAAGACUGGUUCGGCCGCGUUCGUCACCGGCAAGGGCCGCGUACCGAGCAGCGAGCUCGUGGAGAUGUUCCUCAUGACACGGUGCCGCAACCUCAACUGCAAGAGCAUGCUGCCUGUGGACGAUUGCGAGUGUAAGAUUUGCUCCAGCAACAAAGGGUUCUGUGGAGCAUGUAUGUGCCCGGUGUGCCACAAGUUCGACUGUGCUGCAAAUACCUGCAGCUGGGUCGGUUGUGAUGUUUGCGGCCAUUGGUGCCAUGCCGCAUGCGGUCUGGAGAGGAACUUGAUCAGACCAGGCCCGACGCUGAAGGGGCCGAUAGGGACGACUGAGAUGCAGUUCCAGUGUCUUGGUUGCAGCCAUUCUUCUGAGAUGUUUGGAUUUGUUAAGGAGGUGUUCAACUGUUGCGCAGAGAACUGGAAUGCUGAGACGCUGAUGAAAGAGCUAGAUGUUGUCAGGAAAAUAUUUGCUGCUAGUGAUGAUUUUGAGGGGAAGGGGCUUCAUGCCAAGGCUGAAGAGGUCCUCAGCAUGCUUUCAAAGAAAGUUAUCUCCCUGCCGGAUGCAUUGAACAACAUGCUGCAAUUCUUCAAAUAUGGCGUUACCGACUGCUCUGUUACUGGCAGCAAGUCCAAAGGCAUAUUGGCAGCAAAUCAGGCGAGCCAAUCUACGAUUCCCCUUCUAUCUCCGACCAUCAGUCCACCCAAAUCCUUCAAUUUCAAUGCCAGCACCUCCAUUCUCGACUCACAGAUUGAUGCGCUCAAGACCAGCCCAAAGUCCCUCUCUAUUGAACCCCGUUUUGGCUCCAGCUCAAACCCGCUCGCAAUUGAACCCCGUUUUGGCGCCAGCUCGAAGCCGCUGUCCGUCGAUUCCCGUUUCGGCGCCAGCCCGAAGCCGCUGUCCGUUGAUUCCCGUUUCGGCGCCAGCCCAAAGCCGCUGUCCAUUGAUUCCCAUUUCAGUGCCAGCCCGAAGCCGCUCUCUAUCGAGCCUCAUUUCAGCACCACCUCAAAGGACGAUGAAGCCUCCACCCUCGAGACCGUCGUCAAGUGCAAGGAAGCCGAAGCAAAACUGUUCCAGAAGCUGGCUGACGAUGCCCGGAAGGAGGUGGAGAACUACCGGCAGAUGGUCCGCAACAGAAUCCAGAGCAUGGAGGAGGAGUACGCGUCGAAGGUGGCGAAGCUGUGCUUCCAGGAGGCGGAGGAGAAGAGGAGGAAGAAGAUGGAGGAGCUCAAGACGCUGGAGAACUCGCACUACGACUACCACAAGAUGAAGCUGCGGAUGCAGACCGAGAUCCAGGGCCUGCUCGAGCGGAUGGAGGCCACAAAGAAGAUGUGGGUGUAG